CGAACGGCAGCACGGGUGCUUGCACCUGGUGGCGAGUGGCGAACGGGUGAGUAAUGCGUCGGAACGUACCGAGUAAUGGGGGAUAACGCAGCGAAAGUUGUGCUAAUACCGCAUACGUCCUGAGGGAGAAAGCGGGGGAUCGCAAGACCUCGCGUUAUUCGAGCGGCCGACGUCUGAUUAGCUAGUUGGUGGGGUAAAGGCCUACCAAGGCGACGAUCAGUAGCGGGUCUGAGAGGAUGAUCCGCCACACUGGGACUGAGACACGGCCCAGACUCCUACGGGAGGCAGCAGUGGGGAAUUUUGGACAAUGGGGGCAACCCUGAUCCAGCCAUUCCGCGUGAGUGAAGAAGGCCUUCGGGUUGUAAAGCUCUUUCAGCUGGAGUGAAACGGUACACGCUAACAUCGUGUGCUAAUGACGGUACCAGCAGAAGAAGCACCGGCUAACUACGUGCCAGCAGCCGCGGUAAUACGUAGGGUGCGAGCGUUAAUCGGAAUUACUGGGCGUAAAGCGUGCGCAGGCGGAUUGUUAAGCAAGACGUGAAAUCCCCGGGCUUAACCUGGGAAUGGCGUUUUGAACUGGCAGUCUAGAGUGCGUCAGAGGGGGGUGGAAUUCCACGUGUAGCAGUGAAAUGCGUAGAGAUGUGGAGGAACACCAAUGGCGAAGGCAGCCCCCUGGGAUGACACUGACGCUCAUGUACGAAAGCGUGGGUAGCAAACAGGAUUAGAUACCCUGGUAGUCCACGCCCUAAACGAUGUCAACUGGUUGUUGGGGGAGUGAAAUCCCUUAGUAACGAAGCUA
rnacentral:rRNA from 1 species